AUGAGUUUGCCAUUCUGUGUGGAAGUGAGAGACCAGGAUACUACAUUGAUAUCUACACAGGACAGGUCAUCGACAUUGAUGAGUGCAGGGAAAUCCCAGGUGUGUGUGAGAACGGCGUGUGUAUCAACAUGAUUGGCAGCUUCAGGUGUGAGUGUCCAAUGGGCUUCCUCUACAAUGACAAGCUGCUCAUCUGUGAAGACAUUGAUGAGUGUCAGAAUGGGCCAGUGUGCCAGCAGAAUGCAGGCUGUCUCAACAUGCCUGGUAGCUACCGCUGUGAAUGUAAACCUGGAUACCGCUUCACCCCCACUGGACAGUGUCUGGAUCGCAAUGAGUGG